CUGGCUCAGGAUGAACGCUAGCUACAGGCUUAACACAUGCAAGUCGAGGGGCAGCAGGGCAAUAGCUUGCUAUUGCUGCUGGCGACCGGCGCACGGGUGAGUAACGCGUAUCCAAACCUUCCCUAUAGUAGAGGAUAGCCCGGCGAAAGUCGGAUUAAUACUCUAUGUUUUCCGUUGCAGACAUCUAAGAUGGAACAAAGGCUUGCCGCUAUAGGAUGGGGGAUGCGUCUGAUUAGGUAGUCGGCGGGGUAACGGCCCACCGAGCCAUCGAUCAGUAGGGGUUCUGAGAGGAAGGUCCCCCCACAUUGGAACUGAGACACGGUCCAAACUCCUACGGGAGGCAGCAGUGAGGAAUAUUGGUCAAUGGACGGGAGUCUGAACCAGCCAAGUAGCGUGCCAGGACGACGGCCCUAUGGGUUGUAAACUGCUUUUAUGCGGGGAUAAAGUUCACUACGUGUAGUGUUUUGUAGGUACCGCAUGAAUAAGGACCGGCUAAUUCCGUGCCAGCAGCAGC
rnacentral:rRNA from 1 species